GAACACCAUUAUCACCAGCUGCGUUUGCCAAUUAGCUUGCAGAAUUCCUGAAACAUCACCUCCGGCUCUCUGGGUCUAAGCCUGAUCCUCCUUGCCAUGGGCCUGAAGUCCCAGCUGUCAACAGCAGGCCGGGUGGGUGGAGGUGACAGUGGUGGCCGUCCUGGGGGACAGGAGGGCAGGACGCUGAGGAGGCCGAGGAGGCCACCGUGAUGGUCACGGGACAGCAGAACCAGGCUGCCCGGCUUCAGGGUGCAGCCUCCCUCUGGGACACUGCACCCCAGGUUCUCAGGUCGCGGCUCCUGAGAGCCUGAGACCGGAGUCAGCCCGGAGGAGACCGAGUGCAGGGUGGAACUGGGUCGGGGGGAAGCGAGACAAGGCGGGACGCGUGUCCUCUGUCCUGUGUGGGUUCUGGGGCCAAGGGAUGCGAAAGCCGAGGGAGGCUGUGAGAGAAGAGGGGCUGGGGAGGAAGGGGCCCCGGGGAGCAUGGCAGAGUCUGCUGCACCCACAGCGGGGCCAGGGGAACGGGGCGCCAUCCCUGUGCUCCCGUUAACCGCUGCAGCCCAGCGCGUCCCCCCCAGUGGGUCCGUCUCCCCAGCCUCGGUUUAACCCCUGUGGCGUGGGAGAAGUCUGGGGCGGGAGCUGGGAGCGCUGGGCAGUGAGCACAGCUGUCCAAGCCCGGAGGCUGGGGCAGGCUGGGCCCCAGGGAACCCGGCAGAAGGGCUGCGAAGGAGCGGACAGCACCCACUGGGCCCCCACGUUGUGCUCCAACCGUCCCCCACCCCCGACCCUCACACGGACGCCCUCAGAGUUUACGGACGGGAAACUGAGACUCAGAGAGUUGUCACAUUGUUCUUGUGAUCCAUAAAAGCUAGGCGGGAAGGAAGGCAUCAGUUCCUGGGGAAUCAUGCUGCCUGGAAGACAAAGAGGACCCCCUGCAGCCGGCAGCGUGAACAGCACUGGACGCAGUGACUUAAAAUCAAAUCUCACCUACCGUGGACACCGCUCCAGCGUGAGGAAUUUGAGGGUGUGUUCAAGAUAAAGUCUGAGCUGACUUACAUCAGAGGGGAUGGGAAAGGCGGCCAGGACCAAAAGCAGCCUGGAUUGG